rnacentral:snoRNA from 1 species
ACAUGAUGAGACAUCCAGCUGGCACCAGUCAUAGGGCGACUUGUACUCCCUCCAUUGAUGACCAAAAUGCUGUGGUCUAAGACCUAUCUCUGAU